CCGCAUUGCUUCGAUGUGUUGCGUUUUUAUUCAGGCACCAGAAAGUGGCUCUUUCUGCAUCUUUGAGUUCUGCAAAGAUAACAGCCCUCUUCAACUUCUUAUUAACAUCAAUUCUAUCUAAUUUGAAUUCCCUCUUGCCACGAAACGCAAAACACUUCCAGUUGUGGAGUUCUUCAGCAUCGUCCACCUGCAGCACCAGGUUUCUUCCUUCUCCUUUAGAUAUCACAGAGCCUCCUACAGAUGGGGAGAGCUGAGCAAGAGCCUCCAGCACUGAGAGACACAGAGAUCAUGAGAAACAGCAGGAGGAACAGACCAUUGUGGAUUUACAUUUAGGAUGGUGUUCAUACCCAGUACAGUGAGGGGGACCGGAUCACUCUUCUCUCCGUUCUGCUCACAUUCAUAUUGCCCAUUGUUGUGUGGUGUCACUGUGAUGAGAGUGACGUCGUCUCCAACAUACACCUGUGGGAAUCUCGGCCGGAGAGACACUAAGAGAGGAAAAACACACAUGAGAGAGAAACGUCUCGAACAGGAGGAGUCUCCCUUGUUUGUUCUCAAUCUCCUAUGUCUGCUCGGACCUUCACAAAAAACUACCACAUGAUCUUCCUUGGACCAAGAGGAAGCUCCUUAUGA
ensembl:antisense